GGACUACAGGGGUUUCUAAUCCUGUUUGCUCCCCACGCUUUCGCGCCUCAGUGUCAGUAGCAAGCCAGGAAGUCGCCUUCGCCACUGGUGUUCCUUCCGAUAUCUACGCAUUUCACCGCUACACCGGAAAUUCCACUUCCCUCUCUUGUACUCUAGCAAAUCAGUUUCAUAUGCAAUUCCUAGGUUAAGCCCAGGGAUUUCACAUCUGACUUAAUUAACCACCUACGCGCCCUUUACGCCCAGUAAUUCCGAUUAACGCUCGCACCCUCUGUAUUACCGCGGCUGCUGGCAC
rnacentral:rRNA from 1 species